GGCCUUCCAAUUUGUAAGUCGCUCUGGAUAAGAGCGUCUGCUAAAUGACUUAAA
rfam:Salmo salar isolate Sally breed double haploid chromosome ssa09, whole genome shotgun sequence.